rnacentral:ncRNA from 1 species
AUGCAAGGUCGCACGCGAUCGUAACCGCCUUUACGGCGGCAGUCGUUACGAUAGUAAUCCUGCCCAGUACGAGAGGAACGGCAGGAUUCGGACAUUGGUUCGGCACUCGCCCGAGCGGGCGUUGGUGCGAGGCUACCAUCCGUUGGAUUACGCCUGAACGCCUCUAAGGCCCGUAUCCACUCUGGAGAAAACAGCCGGGCCCGGGCUUUCGGGCCGGUCUCGGGAAAACGAUCGUCCGUACGGCGGAGGAGAACCCAGUAUACAUCGGGAAGGCGUCAAAGCACGGACCUUCGGGUCCACGACGAGCCGGAUUCUCGGCCGCGCGGGCUCUCGGGCCCGCUGGCCGUGCAUCAAACGGUGAACGCGGUGAUCCCCGCGGCAAACGGUGUGGGUUUUCGGAAUCGUCUGCAGACGACUUAAGUACCGGGCUGGGUGUUGUACUCGGCAGAGCAGUUACCACGCUGCGAUCUGUUAAGACUGCCCUUUGCCUCGGGGGUUCGU